rnacentral:rRNA from 1 species
UGCGCAGGCGGAAACUUAAGUCAGUGGUGAAAUCUCACAGCUCAACUGUGAAACUGCCAUUGAAACUGAUUUUCUUGAAUACGGUUGAGGUAGGCGGAAUACGUUAUGUAGCGGUGAAAUGCUUAGAUAUAACGUAGAACACCGAUUGCGAAGGCAGCUUACUAAACCGUUAUUGACGCUGAGGCACGAAAGCGUGGGGAGCGAACAGGAUUAGAUACCCUGGUAGUCC